ensembl:lncRNA
GUGGUGGAAGGUCUGGUGAAGAAGAGGAGGAGGAGGAAUCAUCAGUGGGAAUCUGGCAGCCCUCAAGCAGCAGGAUCCCAAUCUAACAGCAUUAUCCCCAACCUGGAAGGAGUAAAGUGGUGGGAAAUUAUGACUUCCAGUCAGUCAUCAUCAUAAAGCUCCGUUCAGCUGACGCCAGCCUUGAAGCCCGCGCUCUGGCAGUCCAUCAUCCCGUUCUGGUCUACUGUCCCAGUCUAGUCUCCUUAGUGCGUGGAUGGAGUCGGGGAAGGGAGGGAAGACAAUCUGUGAAGAGAGAAAGGAGAAGUGGUCGGCAUGAUACGGCAGGAAGCGUGUACAUGUUUGCUUUAGGGAGGCAGAAAUGGUGUAGACAAGUUUAUAGACAUGUUCAUGUAGGAACAGAUGUUCUGAAGUGUUUGUGAAACGUUUGUCCUGGAAGACUCACCUGAUGAAGCAGCAUAUCCACCCAAUAACCCCAUGUUGUGUUUGUAAGGAAUUUAACUUUGUUACCCCGUUUGCCAAAAAUGUGUCCCGCGCUACAAUAAAGUAGCCAACAUUGAUUUAGAACACAUGUUGCCCGUCAUUUAGG